UGGAAAAAUUUUAGACAUUAUUUCUUUAAAAAUCCUGCCCCACUUCUCCUUUGGAGACUUCAACUACAUGUCACACAUCUCAUUGAUGCUCUGAUUGUUGAUUUUUUCUUUCUUUCUCAUUUUGUUUUAAGUCAUUUUUUUCCUCUGUUUUACUUCAGAUAGUGUCUCUUGCUAUGUUUUCAAAUUUGCUGAUCUUUCCUUUUGCAAUGCAUAAUCUUUUGAUCGAUUUUUCUCCUUGUAUGGUUCAUGUUUUCUUGCUUAUUUGCACACCUGGUACUUUUUGGUAGGAUGCCAGACAUGGUGGAUUUUACCUUUCCGGGUGCUGGGUAUUUUUGCAUUCCUGUAAAUAUUCCUGAUCUUUCCUCCGGGAUGCUGUUGAGUUACCUGGAGACAGUUUGAUCCUUUCAGGUCUUGAUUUCAAGAUUGUGAGGGAGGACCAGAGCAGUGUUUAGUCUAGCGCUAAUUAUCCCCACUUCUGAAUGUUUUACCCAGAGCUGGAUAAAUUAUGAUGUUUUCCUGUCUGGAGGUGAGAACAGGCACUACUGCCAGCCUUGUGUGAGAGGUGGCCACUGCUCCCCCUGAGUCUUUUGGGGAGGUCUUUCCUGGGCUUGAGUAAUCUCCUCACACACAUGCAUGCUCACUGCUCUGUUGAAUAUAUGAAAGGAAACCUCUACAGAUCUCUGGAGUUCUCUCUCUGGGCAGCUGCCUUCUCUACUGUGCUGCCCAAUAAACUCCAGGCACCUUGAUGUCUCUAGAUUUUUACCUUUGGCUCCUUAACUUGGGGAUCUCCUAUGCUCUCCAUCCCCGUGCUGUGGCCUGGAAUCUCUUGCAAGGCAGGAAUCUGGAAUAAUCCUAGGCCUUAUCUGAUUUUGUUUCCCUGUCUCUCAGGGCUCACUGUCUUUUGUUGCUGAUGUCCAAUGUGUUGAAAACCAUUGUUUUGUAUAUUUUUUCUAUUGUGUUUUUUGUGGUUUCAAGCGGUUGUGUACCUCCUAUUCCUGAUACUUCAUCUUGGCUGAGAGUGGAUGUUGACGCUCCUAUUAUUUUUUUAGAAAAAGUUUUUCGUUCUGUCUUCCCAGAGGUUUAUCAAUUUUAUAAGUCCUUUCCAAUGACACACAUUUGUCUUUCUCAAGUCUCUUUAUGGUAUAGUUUUUUAUCCAUAAAUGUGUCAUUUGUCCACAGAUCUUCCUCUGUUUAUGAUGGGAUUACAUCCUGAUAAACCCACCAUGAAUUGAAAAUGCAUUUAAUACACCUAACCUACCAAACAUCAUAGGUUAGCCCAGCCUAUCUUAAACGCGCCCAGAACACUUAGAUUAUCCUCCAGUUGGGUAAGAUCUUCUCACACAAAGCCUAUUUUAUAAUGAAGUGUUGACUAUCUCAUGUCAUUUAUUGAGUCUGGUACUGAAGGGAACAACAGUGGCUGUGAGUGUACCGGUUGUUCACCCUCCUGAUCACGUGGCUGACUGGGAGCUGCGGCUCACUCCACUGCCCAGCAUCACGAGCGAGUGUGGGACAGCAUAUUGCGAGCCUGGGAAAUUAGCAAAAUUCAAGAAAGCAUCAACUGGAGAGACUUCCACCCAUGUUGACUCCUGGGCAGAACGUUCACUCAGCAGACGGUAUAGUCCAGCUCAAGACACCCUGGUGGCUCUUGUCUGGUACGCAGCAUACAGAGGCUCUUCUGCAGGCCGCAGGGAAGUUCCUCUAGAACAAUAAAGCACAGUACGAUACUGCUGAACAAGCGUUAUCACCCCUGGAGAAGUCAAGAAACAUGAGAGCUCCACAUAUCAAUUGCUCUAAGCUGCAAAGGUCCUACCAUGGGCCCUGUACUCAUUGGGAAGGAACAGUGGGGUGGCAAGGUAUUUAUGUCAACUGGGUCACGGUCAGUCACAGGAAAACAGAAUCCAGGGCUGGACCCAGCUUUGACUCGAGAUUGGGAGCUGGUACAUUUACACCAAAAACACAGUGAACUCUACAAUCUACCGUGUCCUGUGCCAGAGGAAGAACACAGCCAACCAUUGCUCCAGGAAUCUGGAAGAUGGAGAAUUGGACCAUCAGAGGCCAGGGUGAUCAAGAAAGUCUUUGUGAUACCCCAAUUUUAGAUUUGGAAUAUAUUAUCACCAGAACGUUAGCCCAAAGGGAUAAAGCUUCAUUGACAUCAUUCUAAGGACUGUGAUCAAGAAGCCCUCUCGGAAUCACCCGUUCACACCAUCCUGGAGACUGUCACUCAGAUCACUCUCUCGAUAUUCUUAUAGCUAAACCAGGACCAAGGGCUAAAAGCCCUCCUGAGACAUCUUUCAAGGAUACUUCCUUGGCACUCGAGACUGCAGAGAGGCCCGAC
ensembl:lncRNA